rnacentral:rRNA from 1 species
AGAACGAACGCUGGCGGCACGCCUAACACAUGCAAGUCGAGCGCCCAGCAAUGGGAGCGGCGGACGGGUGAGGAACACGUGGGAACAUGCCUUUCGGUUCGGCACAACUGCGGGAAACUGCAGCUAAUUCCGGAUACGCCCUUACGGGGAAAGAUUUAUCGCCGAAAGAUUGGCCCGCGUCUGAUUAGCUAGUUGGUGAGGUAAUGGCUCACCAAGGCUUCGAUCAGUAGCUGGUUUGAGAGAACGACCAGCCACACUGGGACUGAGACACGGCCCAGACUCCUACGGGAGGCAGCAGUGGGGAAUCUUGGACAAUGGAGGAAACUCUGAUCCAGCGAUGCCGCGUGAGUGAUGAAGGCCUUCGGGUUGUAAAACUCUUUUACCAGGGAAGAUAAUGACUGUACCUGGAGAUAAGCCCGGCUAACUUCGUGCCAGCAGCCGC